rnacentral:ncRNA from 1 species
GAAGGAUCUUCUUGUCCUUUACCGCACAAAUGGAUAAUCUGAUAUUUUUUAAGCAACGUUGGAAUAUGCCUGCGAACAACAUGAUUUAAGCUUUUAGCACCCAGACUUCCACCCAUAAACAACAAAACAGGCUUUUCCUCUGUAAA